rnacentral:lncRNA from 1 species
AGCGUGAAGGGCCAGAGGAUGGUGCUCGAGGCUGGGGCCUAGGACCCCAGCAAGGAGCCCAGGCUAGGGACCUAGAGAAGUGCCCAUGCCAGGAGAGAGCAGGGAAGGGCAAGGUUGGGCUAGUGGGUGGCACUAGUGGACUUCAGUGCAGGGAAACCAAGGGGUACAUGAAAGCGGCCCAAGCAAGGGGCCCGCAAUCAACACCUAGGGAUGCACUGGUCAACAAGGGCCACCAGAGACUCAAGCGAAGAGCCAUGCUAGGGACUGGAGAGCCAAGGGCCAGGGCUGGGGCAGUGGGCUCAGGACAGUUGACAGGGCUCAGCAGGGAAGGCAGGCCAUCCAGCAUGGGGGAGGCAAGC